GGAGAGGUGGCCGAGCUGGCCGAAGGCGCACCCCUGCUAAGGGUGUACAGGGGUAACUCUGUCGAGAGUUCAAAUCUCUCCCUCUCCG
rnacentral:tRNA from 1 species